rnacentral:rRNA from 1 species
UACGUAGGGGGCAAGCGUUGUCCGGAUUUAUUGGGCGUAAAGAGCGUGUAGGCGGCCAGGUAGGUCAGCUGUGAAAACUCGAGGCUCAACCUCGAGACGUCGGUUGAAACCAUCUGGCUAGAGUCCGGAAGAGGAGAGUGGAAUUCCUGGUGUAGCGGUGAAAUGUGUUGAUAUCGGAAGGAACGCCGGUGGCGAAAGCGACACACUGGAUCUUGUCUGACGCUGAGGCACGAAAGCCAGGGGAGCGAACGGG